rnacentral:rRNA from 1 species
AACGCGAAGAACCUUACCAGGUCUUGACAUCCCUCUGACCGGUACAGAGAUGUACCUUCCCUUCGGGGCAGAGGAGACAGGUGGUGCAUGGUUGUCGUCAGCUCGUGUCGUGAGAUGUUGGGUUAAGUCCCGCAACGAGCGCAACCCUUAGGUCUAGUUGCCAGCAUGUAAUGAUGGGCACUCUAGAACGACUGCCGGUGACAAACCGGAGGAAGGUGGGGAUGACGUCAAAUCAUCAUGCCCCUUAUGACCUGGGCUACACACGUACUACAAUGGCCGAUACAACGGGAAGCGAAGUCGCGAGGCGGAGCCAAUCCUAUCAAAGUCGGUCUCAGUUCGGAUUGCAGGCUGCAACUCGCCUGCAUGAAGUCGGAAUUGCUAGUAAUCGCGGAUCAGCAUGCCGUGGUGAAUACGUUCCCGGGCUUGUACACACCGAUAGC